CCCUUGCUGCCUGGAGACUCCAGGAGCACGGAGGCGGACACCAGCACCAGGGAGCAUCCACAGACCACGUGCAGGGCCACAGACAGUCCCACUCCCUGAGAUACCCCACCAGGGGCAGUGCACACUGGAUCCCCAGUGCACCAUGUGCAGUUUAAGGGCGGACAAAAUAUGGCCUGUAGGCCUCAUCUGGUGCACCAGGAGAUUUCAUCCAGCCCAUGGACAGAUGCCCACCAAUUAAUUGUAUCUGGCCCAGCCCAUGACCACCACUGCUGUGCUCCACAUGGGGCUGAACCUCACCCACUCUCGCUGGGGCAGCAUGCUGCACCCCCACCCUCUUACACAGGAGGGCCCCAGCCAGUGCACAGCUUCCAGGCAGGGCUGCUACUGCUGCAGCCACCCACGGAACUGCUCAGCUCCCCUGGCCUCCAGUGACUCCUCCUCAUGUCCCUGCUGCAACACUCUGGGCAGCAGUUCCAAGAUGGCACCCCUCUCACAAGGAGUUUCCUAAGCUGGCAACCAGGGGCUAGGGCACCUAUCAGGAGAUGGGGCUACCCUUGCAGCCUUCAACAGCUCACCAAAACUCAUUAAACAGCCCUCCAGCUGAAGUAAUUGCCCACUGCUGUACUAGCAAGACCAAUAUGAGAACAUUGUCUGGUGCCCACACUUCGUGGAAGAUGUAAAAAUACAGGAGGGAGUUCAAAGGGCGACAAGAAAGUUCUAGUAGCUGAAAACAAGCCUUACAUGUGAGGCUUAAGUAGUUUAACUCGUAUGGUUUACUAAGAAGAAGGUUGGACAGUGACUUGAUAAUUUAAGCAAUUAUAUGUGGAAAAAAGUGACAUCGCCAUCCCUUCUAAACUUGGAUUCAUUCUGUUCAUCUCUUCCCUGAAUGCAUCUUAGAAGAACUGGUUUAUCUGUAUUGUAUUCAACAUGCUCAUAACACUUCCAGUUUUAUAGUAAGACAUUGAUUAUAAUAGUCAGGAAGCAUUUAGUCCUUUUGUCCCACUAGGUAGAUGUAUUCUGUUUCCACCACUGUAUGAACAGUUGGAGAUGGGCAACUGUGCAUAGAGUACUAGUGCUCUGAUAUACCACUAUUAAGCAGGGUCAAAAUGAGUUCCAGAUUAGAGAUCAGGAAGGAAUAUUUCCUCUAGCUUGCACUGAGAGUGGAACAAUAUUUUGUUCUUCUGCUGCCUGUGCAUGACCCCCACAGGCAAACCCUAUAGGUACAUCACAGAUGAUGAAUUCCCUCCUAUUUCAGGAUCUCAAGCACCUGGUUCUCUCUUUCCUAGUCUAAAAAUUGCAAAAUGAGUAAGAUCGCAAAGCCAGCAACUAAGGAUAGUCAUUCAAAAACUGUAGAGUUUUCUCUGCCUUGCUGAGACGUGAGAAUGUAUAACAUAUUUUAUUGAGAAUGACUGCAUUUGCAGAUGAGAGACGUGAUAAUUAGUGUGUGUGCUGGAUUUCAAAACAUGAGACAAAUAGACUUGAUUCUGCCAUUGAAGAUGUCAGUCAUGUGCCAAUCAAAUGUUCAUUUCCAUAGUAACUAAAAGAAAAAAACAGUCAAAAUAUGAAAAAAAGAAAUAUAUAUAUAUAUUGCAAACAAAUGCAUAGUAUGUGGGUGGUAUGCAGUAAGUUGACUAGUGCCUCAUAAGUUCAUGAGUAAUUUGAUGUCCUAAACUAAUAAGGGGGAAAAAUCUUUCUAGCCCACAUGUUAAGUACCACUGUGAAUGAAAAUUAAAAGAUUUGUUAGAUGGCAUUAACCAAUAAGUACCUUUCUCUGUAAAGGAAAAUGGCUUUAUAAUAGAACUGCUAAAGUACAGCUACUAUGCAACAUAUUAAAACAGAAGAAAUUGUG